GUAGGACAGAUCAUCGCGGCCGCACAUUUUGUGCGGGUGAGGAAAGUCCGGGCUUCGCAGGGCAGGAUGCCGGAUAACGUCCGGUGGAGGUGACUCCAAGGCCAGUGCAACAGAAAAGUACCGCCGCGCGUAUUCAAUUUAUUGGAUAUGCGUUGGUAAGGGUGGAAAGGCAGCUUAAGAGACUACCGUCCGUCCGGUAACGGACGGAGCCAUGUAAACCCCAUCCGAAGCAAGACCAAAAAGAGAGCGACAGGCUUGCCCGGCCUGCUCUCAGGUGGGUCGCUUGAUGCGGCUGGCAACAGCCGUACUAGAUAGAUGAUGAUCCGAGACAUAACCCGGCUUAUCGUUCUGCUU
rnacentral:RNase_P_RNA from 1 species